GACGAACGCUGGCGGCGUGCUUAACACAUGCAAGUCGAACGGAAAGGCCCUGCUUUUGUGGGGUGCUCGAGUGGCGAACGGGUGAGUAACACGUGAGUAACCUGCCCUUGACUUUGGGAUAACUUCAGGAAACUGGGGCUAAUACCGGAUAGGAGCUCCUGCUGCAUGGUGGGGGUUGGAAAGUUUCGGCGGUUGGGGAUGGACUCGCGGCUUAUCAGCUUGUUGGUGGGGUAGUGGCUUACCAAGGCUUUGACGGGUAGCCGGCCUGAGAGGGUGACCGGGCACAUUGGGACUGCGAUACGGCCCAGAAUCGUACGGGAGGCAGCAGUGGGGAACAUUGCACAAUGGGGGGAAGCCUGAUGCAGCAACGCCGCGUGCGGGAUGACGGCCUUCGGGUUGUAAACCGCUUUCGCCUGUGACGAAGCGUGAGUGACGGUAAUGGGUAAAGAAGCACCGGCUAACUACGUG
rnacentral:rRNA from 1 species